UGUGUGUAUCUAUAUAUUGGAGUAUUACUCGUUAAUCAAAAAGAAUGAAAUUUUUCCAUUUGCAACUACGUGGAUGGACCUGGAGGGUAUUAUGCUAAGUGAAAUUAG